GACGAACGCUGGCGGCGUGCCUAAUACAUGCAAGUUGAGCGCUGAAGGUUGGUACUUGUACCAACUGGAUGAGCAGCGAACGGGUGAGUAACGCGUGGGGAAUCUGCCUUUGAGCGGGGGACAACAUUUGGAAACGAAUGCUAAUACCGCAUAAAAACUUUAAACACAAGUUUUAAGUUUGAAAGAUGCAAUUGCAUCACUCAAAGAUGAUCCCGCGUUGUAUUAGCUAGUUGGUGAGGUAAAGGCUCACCAAGGCGAUGAUACAUAGCCGACCUGAGAGGGUGAUCGGCCACAUUGGGACUGGGACACGGCCCAAACUCCUACUGGAGGCAGCAGUAGGGAAUCUUCGGCAAUGGACGAAAGUCUGACCGAGCAACGCCGCGUGAGUGAAGAAGGUUUUCGGAUCGUAAAACUCUGUUGGUAGAGAAGAACGUUGGUGAGAGUGGAAAGCUCAUCAAGUGACGGUAACUACCCAGAAAGGGACGGCUAACUACGUG
rnacentral:rRNA from 1 species